rnacentral:rRNA from 1 species
UACAGAGACUGCAAGCGUUAUUCGGAUUCACUGGGCGUAAAGGGUGCGCAGGCGGUCGUGGGUGUCAGAUGUGAAAUCCCGGAGCUUAACUCCGGAACUGCGUCUGAAACUACAUGACUAGAGCAUUGGAGAGGGAAGUGGAAUUCAUGGUGUAGCAGUGAAAUGCGUAGAUAUCAUGAGGAACACCAGAGGCGAAGGCGACUUCCUGGACAAUUGCUGACGCUCAGGCACGAAAGCAUGGGGAGCAAAAGGG